rnacentral:lncRNA from 1 species
GUUUUACGAGAGUUGGAGCCACAGGGAAGUCAGCGGUCUUCACGUUUGGAAUGCAGAAGCUUGAGGUCACCAGGAAAGCCUUCUCCUGUGAUGGACACAGAGGGGUGCAUGUGUCUAAUAGUAGUUGGCAACUGGAUAUGGAGAAUGUAAACAAGAACUUAUGCGGGAUGCAGAUUAAACGAGGGAAGUUCAUACACUUCCAUUUAUCUGUAACAAAUGAUGCUGAGUUUCAGCAUGGAUGAUGAUAAAAACUCCGAAACUAUCAUCUCUCAAACAAUCUCAUUGCUGUCCUCUAAAGGUUUGCCCACUGGGAUGUUGAUAUCCACUGAGCCCCUAAAAAUCAGCUGAUAGCAGUGUGAGUAAGUUCUGGGGUGCCAAAACCUCACUAAGAAGGUCACAUCUGGAAGAACUGAGAAGCGAACCCCACAGAAUUCAAGAUUGACCUGUGGUGGACUCCACUGUGUUUACUGCCAAUUUGGGAUGAUGCGUUGCUGUAAAGUGCUACCAAUAAAUGGGAAGUUUGGGCUAGCAGGAAAAGAACAGCAUGAUGCAAAACUAUACUCAGACCGGAGUGCUUACCAGUGUGUUUGCCAGACAGAAGGAGGUUUAUUUCCUUCUCAUAAGAGCUGCUAACUGCACUGCAGUGGUGGAAAUGACCGUGAACUUCAGAAUUCAAGAAGGCUGUUCUAAAAAAUACUGCAAAAAGUGUGAAAAUGCUCUAAAAGUAUAGCUGGUCAUCCUAAGUACAAAUGAGAGAUCUACAAGGUGUUAUUCCACCAGAGGAAGAUCCUGUACUCUGCAGUCCCACUACGGACCUGACUGUGGCAGAGGAGGAGCAGCCAUCUACUUACAGGUCAAUUCUGAAAGGGUACUCUGAAGCGCUGGAACAUUUAACUCACAGUGAAGAAAUACUGCCCAGCUUCUGUUCAACAUCAUCGUCAGCCGCUUGGUUGGGCGAUUCUGGCCAGUGCACAAGGAACUGUAGGAGCCCUUCAGUGAUUACAGGACACCACAGAUGGCAUCUGCAAGGCUGAACCAUGGGGAUGAUGCUGCCGUUUUUGCAGGCAAAAGCUAUAGAAAAGUGAAGCAGGAGUCCCAAGAAAAUGCCUGGACUCAUGAGAGCUAAUCACAGCAGGGUCAUAGGAGGCAGAUACGUUUGCAGGACUGAUGCAGAGCUCCAUUGCUCGAGGUGGAUCCUGAGGAAUAGUUGCUAUUUAUUGCAGCCCAAUGUAUUGGAAUUCAAAACCAAGGAGAUCGAUCAUCCUCGCAUCAGAUCUGAGGGCUUCUUAUCAAAUAAAAAAGCCUGCAGCAGCAGAAAGCAGUCCUACCUGCCAAGAUGAAGUGAAGACACAAAAGUGUUUUGAAGAAACAAAAUGGGAGACAGCCAUAGGACACAGGUCUCCUUAUAGUCAUGCCAAAACGUUUGGUACAUAGUAUGCAUUUUUUGCAGUGUGGUGGAACAAAGCAAUUAUUUCACAGCUGAAGGAAAACCAGAAGAUAUUUAAAAAUGGAAAGUUCCCUUCCCAAGCCAUAAUGGAUGACGACGGUAGUAGAAGUAAUAUAUUCAGAGGGACCAAAACAGGAUAACAAUUUUUCAGAAGCUGAAGAAAUAUAUGAGGGAAGAAGAGAGAUUGAUACAGCAGCAUUGGAACCAGCUUUGUCCUUGGAUUGCAAGGGAAUGGAGAAAUGAGGUGUCUUCACAGAUCUUUCUUAUGUGACCAAGUGGCAGAAAAUGCUGCAGAAAUCUACUUCAGACAGUUAAGUAUUCAGGUUACUGAAAGCUGUGUUUACUAUUUUUAUAUCUAUGGUUGUGAGCUAAGUAUUUUUUUUUUUUUUUUUUUUUUUGCCUGUUCACAUCCUUGCUGCCUGCAGAGCUUCCCAGUUGCUAGGCUGUGUUUAAUAUAUUAUUUUCCCAUUGAGACACCUAUGCUCCCUGUCACAUCUCUGUUGUCUCUUUUCAGUACUGUAUGAGCCCCAUCUCUGGCUUCUCUAAAUGUUAAAGACCUCUCUUCCAGUUAUUUAUACAGUAUUUAAAAUACGUCCCUUAGUAAUCUUGACUUCAUCAGCCUGACCCCUCUGAACCACCAUUCGCCCUUGGUUCAUCAAAUCAGGUUCAGCCUUCUUGCCUUUAGCUUAGGACAUUUUAAUUCUUUUUUUCUGCAUAAUGUCUGUUUCUGUCUCCUAUAUUGAGAUUUAUUAAAAUUAUUUAGCCAUUUUAAGAUGAAACCGUAUGUCUAGUUGAGUGUUCAAAAUCAGUGACUACCUAAUUCCCCCUGAGACUAACACUCAUUCAUUCUCCUCAUUAACUUAGCAAGAGGACUUAGAGUCCAGCAUUGCAGAUUGUCUCCAGGCUUUCAUGCCUGAACUUCUCUUUCACUGUUGGGGGCAUAGAUCCUUCCUCUUCUGAGGACAAAGAAAUUUGGUGUCAUCCAGUCUGUGGAGAAAGUUUGCUGCAACUUGGAAUGCUGUUCUACCAAACAAUUCCUUUCUUCCAUCUGCGACACAAUUUUUUAGGGUUUUCCGAUUAAUCCAAAUACUGAAGAUAUUAUAAAGCCACAGAAACUGCUUUAGGCCAAAGAUGGCAAUUACAGCUAAGAGCUAGAGCUAACUGAAAGGCUUCCUAUUUUUUAACAUUUUUCUGUGGCUUUUAAGAUCUUUUUGUGUCACUCUGGAAUGAAAACCAAGUGCACAAAGACUUUUGGCAAAAAUGGGACUUUGCAAAAUGUUCAUCUUUGGCUCCAGAAACCGUUUUUCUUCUACUCUCAUCUUCUAGGAAGCCUAUUGUAGAGCUUAGAAAUAAUCCUGUCAGAACUUCAUCAAAGCCAGUAUUUGUUUUCAAAAUGUUCUAGUUUUGGCAUAAUAUUAGUUGGAGAAGAAAGUAUUUAAUCCAAAAUUUUCUGACUAGUUCCAUAAAUGUCAUUACAUUAAUUAGGUACAUAAGUAACAGUAGCUGAAUUAGCUAUGUUUACACAUGUCUAGUCAUCUGAAAGAAUAUGAAGUCAGACAGGACUCAAGGGUUGGCUCAGUAAGUGUCAUAAAUUUUAGUAACCCCUGAUCUUGAUGCUCAGUAGAACACAUCUGUGAACAAAACUAAUUGAAACAUCAAGAAAAAGUCAAAACAAAUGAAAAGCAUUAGCAAAAAAAAAAAAAACAAAAAAAAAAACAAAAAACAUUUUUAUUAAUUUAGAGUAAUAUGUUAGGGUGAGUGGCAAAUUAAAUCGCUAUCCAAGUCCUGACACAGUUUUUUAUUUGAAACUAUAAUGUGAUUAUUGAUCAAAUGAAUUAAUUCUAUUUUGAUGGUAAUAUUAGCUUUUAAGUAACACAUAAACCUAAAAAUAGUUUAAUACAAGGCUUUCAGGGUCAUCAUCCUCCAAUAUUACUGUAAUCAGGAAUAGUUCCAAUGAAUAUAAUUAUGUUGUAUUCAUGAUACGAUAAAGGCUAUAUAAUUGAAAUCAAAUUUAGAGUUUUUUAAGGUUUUUAUUCAUUAUCUGAUUAGCCUACUACCUCAUAUGAAAGUAGUCAAGUCUUCUGAAUCUUACUCAUGCUGAGUGAAGACAUAUCUGGAUAUCGUGGAUAUUUCUGAGCCAGUUACUAUCGUACUCAUAUACAGUUUCUUCUGUAGUUUCUUUCUGGUUUUGUGUGUGUGCAUGUGCAUUUAUUUCAUAUGACUAAGAACCUCUAUCUAUCUGAAGAAUUGCAGGCUUUGGUUGCUAUUUCUCUACGGAAUGACUGGGAUGGUAUAUGAUGGUGCUUUGCAAAAGGAGCAGAAAUAAGUUAGCUUGAUGAAAUUUGUAGGAGAUGGCAGCAUCUGCUAACUCCAAACUCAGUCCUUGUGUUUGCUUUCGGUUCUUUUGAAACUAGUUUCUUGUGAUGUAUUUUAAAAUACAUAUUGUAGUACAGUUUUUCUCUAAAGCAUGCACUAUCAGAGAAUCACCUCUGAUGUAGAGUUGUCUUUUCAGACUUGCGGAACACAUUUCUUGUUUCUUAGAAUCUUUUAAAAUGUUGGUGUCUAGUACGACCCAAUGCACUGAAAUAUCUUGUAUAUAAUGCUAUUUUCUAAUGAACCGUGAUUCUCUGGUUCUGUCAAGAGUCGUGCUCAUAUUAGUAAAGGCUAAAGAGAGUACCAUUAUGUGUCUAGCAGAGAUAGUCCUUAACAGACUUGUCAAGUCUUAAGCAGUGUGCAUAAAAGAUGAAGCAUCUUGUUACAUCUGAUACCUCCAACUCAAGUGCUCCUAGGAAGUCACUGCCUUCCUCCCUUCUCCAGGACCAUGCAGGCCAGACAUGGCUUCUCACAUCACUCAUGGAGGGCUGGCUCCUUUGCUGCAGUCAUCUGCCAAACUCUUGUUACACUGAGAACCUCACAUCAGAUUAAAAGUUUCAUAGAGAUAUUCAGACAUCAGUCACUCACACCACAUCUCCUGCCCCCACAGCAAUACAACUGUAACCCCCCAAGAACUCUACAGAAUUUGACUUUGUAUAGAAAUUAAUAUUGAUUAGGUAGCACAACUGAAAAAACUUUCUAAAGUGUGCAGUAACAUAUAAAUUAGAAUUCUGUCCCUCCACCAUGUUCUGAACUAACCAUUUUCUGUUGAGAGUGAAGCCUGAAUGGAAUUAGCACUCACAACACUAUGCAGAGCAUAGUUUCAGAUUAAUUUAUAUGAUAUGAUGAUGAAAAUAAAGAAGACACCGACCAAAGUCUUCAGAAAUCCUAUGUUGAAAUAAGGAAAUACCUUUCCAUUUUAAUAAUUGUUGAUAUGGUCAGUGUCAGCUUUUUUAUACAGUAAAGGUAUGAAAGUCUGUGUUGUGUGAUUAGACAUUAAGCACAUUCAUUGAGGGACGAUUUCAUGGAGUCCCUGAUAUCAGUGGAGCAGUGGCAGCUGUUGGGCUUAACUUGGCCCAGGUUUAAGUACUUUUUUAAUUUGAAUAUGUUGGAGUCUAAAGUAGGAAUGAUCAUUCUUACUUUUCUUAUUCAUUCCAUUUUAUAGGGGCUUAAGAAACUAGGGGAAUCAGGCCCUUUGUGUAAUACAUAUCGUCUUACAUGAUUUCCAAUGAAGGAUAUUUUCAAGUAGGAGCUUAAGCUUAAAAAAAAAAAAAAAAAGAUUAACUUAAUUACUCUUGAGAUAUGGUAGAAUUCCAGUUGGCCACCUGAAUAAACAUACAAUUUUAUCAUUUUUUUCAGUGUUUCUGUGCUGCAGGAGUACAAAAGUACAGAUGCAUCUCAUGAGUAUAUAAUAAAGAGAAAAUAAGCUACCAUACCCUUUUCAAAAGAACUAAUCAAGUACUAAAAGGAAAAUUAAUGCAAAUAAAAUAUUGAUUAAGAACUAAAAGGAUUUUAAUUAUAUUACUUUCAGAAAUAAUUUAAUUUAACCCAAACAGACAACUAAGAGCAGAUAUUUCGCCUUAGCAUUUUUCAGAUUGCUAAUUAAAAUUUCUAGGAGGAAAUUCAAGUUUAGUGACUGGAUUUUAAAGAUAAAUAAUGCUUGCUUCUUUUCAUAAUAGUUUUAUAAAGGUUUACAUAGUGCCAAAAUAUAAUACUGCAUGCACAUUUUUUUUAAAAACAAUCAGAUAACCUGGAUGCUCCAUACAACCACUGGGGGUAUCGAGCACUCUUACAUUAAGAAAACUUGAAAAUUAAGUGUGUUAAGGUUAAAUAUCUGUCAUAUGUUUUUUAUGUAGAUUUAUAUCUACAUUGUUUAUGAAAUUCUUUGGAGAUAAUUGCUUUUUGGUAAGAUAAAGGCAAUUAUAGUGAUAGAGCACUCUUUGUGCUUCCAUUGCCACUGAGUAGCAAUUUUACUAUUUAUCUGAAAAGAGAUGUAUCUGAUUCUUUAUUCUCUGCCAUAAUGACUUGAUCCAAAAUCCAGUGAAGUAAAUGGAAAUUGCUCAUCACUCUAUAAUUUUGUAUAGCAUUUGGCUUUCAAUGCCACUGCCUACUUUACAUUGUAUUAUUUAUAAGACUGCUGAUCGCUUACAUAUACACCACGAAAUGGAAUGGGAAUGCAGUAAUACAGAGGCACAACAUUUGGAAGCUUUCUACAAAGAAUCUUUUACAACUACAAAUUCUUCACAGAGUAUUAAGGCAAACUGCUCAGAAUUUAAUUAAGCUCCUUUCAUCUUCUUUAGAUGCAGAGUGCUAAAUUAAAGAGAAAAAGAUGAUACUGAGCUACCUGUCCAAACACUUUAGGCAAAAAAAGGUAUAAUUAACAGUCCUUAACAUUAGAUUAGGGAGCAGUAUCAGAAAAUCCCCUUUAUGCCAAGACAGAGGGCUAGAACAUGCCAUGGGGACAUAACAAGAUUCAGAACCACUCUAAAGAAAAUUGUUACACAGAAGAAUCACGUGUCCCAUUAACCAGUGCUCCCUCUCUUGGGCCACUGUAUGUACACAUCAUAAAGCAUGUGACAUACAACUUCUAUGCAAUUUGAAACAUUUCCUAAAAAUUAUGCAAUGCAUGUCUGUGCUACUAGUCUCACUUUGUUAGUCUGCUCACUAGUCUCACUGGUCUCAAUUUUGAAAUUUUGAUUCAGUUAUAUCCAACUUUUCAACCAACUUGACAAGAGGAUUGAGGGGGUCUCAAAAUAUGAAAAUCAGAAGAGAUAGAAAAUCCCACAGAGCCCCUAAUAAUCUGCAGCACACUUUCGUGAGUUGCUAAGUAAUAGGUAAUCUAUAAAACGCAGCAAUGUUGCAACACCAGUCUAUGCAAAGCUUUGGUUUGGUCUCACUUCAUAACACUAGAAACUUGGAAGCACAUAUCUGAGGAAACCAGGCUUCACUACACUGUUGCUUAUGGAAGUAAUUCCUUUUAAGAGAUGAAUAGUAAUUUACACAUUAUUGGAUUAUCUAAUCAACAUAAAAAUGAUUUUACUUGAACACAGGGAAGCUUAGGAGUUUGUCCUCUCCAUAGGCUUUGUCAGAGAUGUAUUAUUGUGCUUGAUGGACUUGAACUGAUAGGGUUGCUUCUCUGUUCCUUUGGCUUAGUCAUGAACAAACAAAAACUAAUUUUGGCCACUCAGCAUUCUGUGAACCAUACAAUCCUCUGCACAUGAUACUUCUGCAAGAGUAAGCUUUAAAAACGAAACUCUUGUUCUCCGUAGGCACUAGAGAUGCAAAUUUGGUGGGACAGAAUCUGAAGGCUAUCUGUCUUCUCAGUUACCCUUUCUGCAACGUAAUAUUUCCUUUGCACUUUGAAGUGGUUGUAUUUAAGCUCAGUUGUGUACGUACAAAAUGAUCUCUGACGAUGAAAGGUAAUAUGAAACGAAAGAAAGACUUUGCAACAUGAAAGGCAUGAAAGAGGAAGAGAAGUAAAGGAGAUGCACUGUUGUUCACCAUUAAUCAUUUCAGCUGGCUACACCUACGUUAAAAAUGCAUGUGCAUGUAUUUACACAACACACAAACAUGCAACGAUGCAAACAGUACACUGCAUGUUUGUUAUGUACAUUGAGUGCAUGUGCGGCUACAACAGAAGUAAAUGAGAAUGAUGCUGAAACAUGAGGUGUAAGCUAAAGGGAACGUUUGAACGGCUGGAUGUUCAGCGAUGUAUGGAGCUGACAUUUGCAAAUCUAAGUUAUAUAUUCUGUUUUCAUUUCUCGACCCUGUCAGCUAAGCAAUCCUUCCACGAGACAGGAAGAAGGAAGAAGGGACAUAAUCCUGAGAGAGCCGAAUGAAUAUAUAUGUUUGCAAUUUCCCUUGAAAUCUGCACAGAAAAUAGGAGUCAACCAUAAAUUCAAAUAAAUCACUGCAAAGACUCACUGACAGAUUCUUUCCAUGCACCUAACGCAGCAAUUACAGAGUCUGGUAAAACUGAGACAGAAAUUGAAAACAGGUUAUUCAUAAAGAAACAAGACGAACCUGCCAGAAUCCUGCUGAUCUAUCAAGCUAAAGAAAAUACUGGACAUCAGCUGCCUCUUAUAGAAAUUCUUCUCUAGUCUGUGAUUCCAUGAAACUGCUUCAUCUGCACACUGCUCAACAGAUCGAAGCUCAGCUUCCGUACUUGGAAGCUUCUGAUGCUUUUGACUUAUUUCCUGGAGAAGCAAUAAACUUGGAGAGCCAUGUUCUUGUUCCUAAUUAUAUAAGAAUUUUACUGCAGGAUGUGGCAAGAAUAUUUUCCUUACUGCAGAGUGUUACAGCUGCAGUCACCAACAGCAGGAUUUCUGUAUACUUGCUCUCAGUAGAUCACUCAAAAUCUACAGUGGAACAAGAGUUACUUGGCCUCCAACAAACAGCUCUAUUUCACUUUCACUGUUAAUUCUGCAAAAAGAUGAGACUCAGCUGUGUGAUCUAUGCUCGUGGGGAUGCAAAGUUUGGAUGCAAAUUUGACAAAACUGAAGAUGGAUGUCUUCUAUUUACAGAAUUACCAUUCCAAUUAAACAACACUUAUUGCCAUUAGUUUGACAUCAGUUCUCUGAGAUUAAACAGAUUCUUGAUUAGGCACGUCCUGAACAAGUGCAAUGCACUGUGCAAGUGUUUUAAUAUUAUGCACCAGUGGAUAUUUUGAAUUGCUCAAUUAAACAAUUCCUAAAUUUAAAAUUUAAAAAUAAAUAAAUAAAUAAAUAAAAGAAGAGAGAAAACUACCCCACAAUGUACAAAAGAAAAGUUAUUAUAGCAUGAUGGCACUUCCUUUGGAGCAAAUGGCAUUGAAAAGCUUACCAGACUAAGAUGUACACCUAUGCAAGAUUUACAUUAUGCAAAAUAAUAUCCUAACAGUGGCAGUACAGGAAGACAGUAUGAGCAAAUCAGUGCUUAACAAGCUAAUCUAUUAAACACGUUACUUAUGACUUCCAACAGUUUUCAAGCAUGUAAGAUUUUUUUUUUUAAACCUCUGGACAAGAAUAUCUCCAUCAUUUUAUAACAAUAUUAUGAUAUUAUUAUUAUGACAGUGUGACGUGUACUCUCCCUCAUUUUCAUAUGCUUUAUUGUAAUAUUUUCUCAUUUUCUCUGACACUGAUUAUUUUAGUUUACAGUCACAGCCAGAGCACUUGUAAAACUAAAAAUAUUUGUUGUUCUUUAUCACAAUACAGAGAUUAAGUGUAUUUGAAUCCAUCUCCUCUGACAAUCAUCAGCUGAGGAAAAUAGAUCAUUUUUACCUGAUGCACUGAUUAUAGACUGGGUUUCAUAAAACAGCAAGGAAUGUAAUGACCUUUCAACCAUUCUUCAUUGCAGAAGAAAUCAUCAAGUUCUUUAGACUCCAGCAGAGCAUUCAUAAAUAGUAAUGCUUAUUUAAGGUAAUUCAAUGUGCAAUAAAAGAGACAUAGAGAAGAAUCCCCAUUAGAUUGAAUAAACAGAAGGGAGUAAACUCAUGCUGUGUAUUUUUUCAUUUCUAAAUAAUUAUUUAACAUAAUCUGUACAAGAAUUUGAGCUAUCUUCAUUCUCUACUGCAAUACAAUGUAGAUUACUAUAGGAUUGUAAAUAUUGGUCUUCUAAAACUGACACUCACUGUUAUUUAGGGUAAUCAUCCUCCACCCAUCCCCAACCUGAUUAAAGUUUCUUCAGUCUUCCAGCCAUCCCCACCAACUUGGAUGCUUCAGUUUGUGGAUCAUGCACCAUUACUUUAUCAGAAUAAUGCUGAUUUUCACAACUGAACCAAGCAAAUUAUUUGAUAUCUGAUUAAUGAUUCCAUCAAAAUGGAUCUUAUUUCUCUGUCUCAUCAUAAAAUAGAAUUAAUAUUAAGAAAUGUCUGAUUACAUUCGUAAAGAACUACCCAAAUGAACUGUUGAUCUGGACUCUAUAGAAUUCAAAUUCUCCAUACCAUUCUCUCCAUGAUCCUGCACUUCAUGGCCCAAAUUUUCUUCCACCUACAUUAGACUUCCCCUAGGAUAACUACACAGACUUUACUGGAAAUAUGCUGGUAUAAAUCACAGAUAGCAAGAGAUGGACUCUAAAAGAUAUUUAGAAAAGAAAUUGAAGUUCAUUUGACUUUUUAAUAAGAAUAAACAAAAACCCCAAAAUAACACCUCCACUCUAGCUCUGAAUCCCAGCUCUUGAAACAGGAUGUUAUCAAUUCCUUUGAUAAGAAAAGAAAAGAAAGCUGAAUAAACCUAUUAUCUUUUCUGUGUGCCUAUUUUCGCUUUGAUGUAAAAUAAAUAAAAAAUGAACUGACAAUUCUAAGAUAUGAAGACACCAUAUUGUUGUCACUCUGUGUUCUUACAAAUCUGAUUCAUUCAUGCCGUUUAAGCUGCUGAAGCCUUUGAAGUUGGAAAAUACUACCACAUGAACUUCUAGCAUUGGUAAUUAAGACAUAGUGUGGCAAAUCAAAGGGGACGUGCUACCUAGUGUCUACAGUUCCUUCCCCCAAAAAAGCAAGCUGAGAGUCAUGAUAAUAAAUCAAUUGGUUCUGCCUUUCAGUAGGAAAAGGCCUGUAACUUGUUAUAUUAUAACUCAAUCCCAUCUUGUAUCCAAGAUCAAUUCCUC